AUGUUCUUUUUUCCUGCUCUGGGGACUCCGUGCUUUUCAAUGGCUCCCUCUCCCAAGAGAAGCAGCGGGAAGGAUGCCAGUGCUUUGCCGAGUGCCUCCUCGACUUUCUGGGCAGUUAUGAUCUUGGUUGGCCUCCUCAUCGCUUACUGCACUUGCAUCUGGAAGUGUGUUUUGUUUUAUUGGUCUUCAGUUCUCUCUCUACUUUUACUUGUCUUUCUCCAACUCUCAAUCCUUUAUAUAAAGACAAUGGUGCUGAUUUCCUUUGAGUGGCAGAACAACUUGAUCCUGUGGCAGCUCUGAUGCCAUGAAGUCAGAUGAAAUUCCUUAGAUGGAUUUAUAACCUAGCAUAUGUCAAGUGUAUCACCUGGAUAUAGAGCCACAAUAGGAGAAAACACAAAUUCUUUUACUACUGUUUCUUCCAUGAAAGGAUCAUUAUUAGUUCUUUUAACUCAUUUUACCUAAUUUGUGUUACACCGUAAAUAGGGAUGUGGAAUGACUGUAUUCUGAUUAUCUGAAUGUACUCUGUGGUGUGUUCACAGAUAUUGGUGCACUUUGAGUGUAGAAUUAAUUAUGUAAAAUAUUCCAUGCUUAAGGUAUUAAGGACUAUAGUAAAUAAACUCCCAUUGAACUGGAUGGGGCUUUCUUUAUUAUCCAGCUCAUAGUCUAAACUUCUACAGCACUGAUCAAUUAUGGGGUUUUGUUUUACUAUCAUCAAAACUUACAACAUAAUAGAAUAUCAAAAUAUACACACAAUACCAUCAAUUUCUUGAUAAUAUCCAUUUUGACCACAGGGGUAUAUUUUCUUAAGAAAAAUAUUCCAUUGCUGGGAACAAUUAUCUCAAUAAUAAACAGAUUCCUCCAUAUCAUUUAAGAGAAGCAAUACUCAAGCAAAGCUGUCAGAUAAGUAACACAAUGCUGGAAUAACAAAAAGAACUCAAAUCAUAAGAAAGCACUUCAAAAUUAAAAAAAAUGAGUGAAAAAAGUACUAUUUGCAAAGAUUGUGUACUUGUGUAUAUGUUUUAAAUAUAUUAUCCUAUAUGUUUUCUCUGUUCUGAAUAUAUUAUUCUGUUCCUACGAUCCUGUUUGUUUUUGGCUUAGACACUGAUCAAUGCAAGUUUAAUAUAGAUAAAUAACUGGAUAUUUGGUUCAUCAUGGAGUAAUAAAACUCCAAGCUUCAGAAACUCAUGUCAUUGCUCACUUAUUUAGUUUUUACAGUGCAAUCCUCUGCAUAGAUACCUAGAAUUUCAUUUUGCUCAGUGGGAUUUCUUCUCAUGUGAAGAAGACUGCCACCUGAGCCCACUUAAUAAAUAAAUAAAUAAAUUGUAAUCUAUUUGAUUUUAAAUUUGUGUUUGUUGUAAAACUUCCUGAG
rnacentral:lncRNA from 11 species